UAUGUGAUCGUCUCUCGCAUAUCAAUAAGCGGAGGAAAAGAAACUAACAAGGAUUCCCUUAGUAACGGCGAGUGAAGCGGGAAGAGCUCAAAUUUGAAAUCUUCAAGGUUUUACCUUGACGAAUUGUAGUUUAAAGAAGUGUUUUCUGUUGAAGUUUUGGUAAAAGUUCUUUGGAAUAGGACAUCAUAGAGGGUGAGAAUCCCGUAUUUGACCAUUAUUUUCAGCUGUGUGAUACACUUUCAAAGAGUCGGAUUGUUUGGGAAUGCAGUCCAAAAUGGGUGGUAAAUUUCAUCUAAAGCUAAAUAUUGGCGAGAGACCGAUAGCGAACAAGUACCGUGAGGGAAAGAUGAAAAGAACUUUGAAAAGAGAGUUAAACAGUACGUGAAAUUGUCAAAAGGGAAGCGCUUGACACCAGUGUUGUUUUCUCGAAAAUCAAUUAAAAAGAGUUAGAUUUUGUUGUGUAUUGACCUUAACAGCUUGCAUUUCAAUUUUCUUGCUUUUUUUAAUGCACUUUUCGUUUAACAAGUCAACAUCAGUUUCUUUUGUUGUAAAAAGGUCAUUGGAAGGUGGCUUUCUUUUCGGAGAAAGUGUUUAUAGCCUUUGACUCCUGCAAUCGGAGAGACUGAGGUCUGCAGCGUAGAUCCUUCGGGGUUAGAUACAUUUGUGCUAAGUUAUAGCUUUUUAUAGACAACUUGUUGACUAUGAUUAGUCUUGUAGCUUACUCGCUUAUGCUAUUUUACCUACGCUUAGGAUGUUGAAGAUGUAGCACAUCAU
rnacentral:rRNA from 1 species